rnacentral:rRNA from 1 species
CAGCCGCGGUAAAACCAGCUCUUCAGUGGUCGGGAUAAUUAUUGGGCUUAAAGUGUCCGUAGCCGGUUUAGUAAGUUCCUGGUAAAACCGGGCAGCUUAACUGUCCGUAUGCUAGGAAUACUGCUAUGCUAGAGGGCGGGAGAGGUCUGAGGUACUACAGGGGUAGGGGUGAAAUCUUAUAAUCCUUGUAGGACCACCAGUGGCGAAAGCGUCAGACUGGAACGCGCCUGACGGUGAGGGACGAAAGCCAGGGGAGCGAACCGGAUUAGAUACCCGGGUAGUCCUGGCCGUAAACGAUGCAUACUAGGCAAUGGUGCGGCCAUGAGCCGCAUCAGUACCGUAGGGAAACCGUUAAGUGUGCCGCCUGGGAAGUACGGUCGCAAGGCUAAAACUUAAAGGAAUUGGCGGGGGAGCACCACAAGGGGUGAAGCCUGCGGUUCAAUUGGACUCAACGCCGGGAAACUUACCAGGGGAGACAGCAGAAUGACAGUCAGGUUGACGACCUUACUCGACGAGCUGAGAGGAGGUGCGUGGCCGUCGCCAGUUCGUGCUGUGAGGUAUCCUGUUAAGUCAGGCAACGAACGAGAUCCGCGCCUUUAUUUGCCAUCAAGAAGUCACGACUUCGUUGGGAACACUAAAGGGACCGCCGUCGAUAAGACGGAGGAAGGAGCGGGCAAAGGCAGGUCAGUAUGCCCCGAAACCCCUGGGCUACACGCGGGCUGCAAUGGUGCGAACAAUGGGCUGUAACUCCGAAAGGAGAAACCAAUCCCGAAAUCGCAUCUCAGUGGGGAUUGUCGACUGUAACUCGUUGACAUGAACGUGGAAUCCCUAGUAAUCGCGUGUCACCAUCGCGCGGUGAAUACGUCUCUGCUCCUUGCA